rnacentral:rRNA from 1 species
AACGAGUUAUCUGAACCUUCGGGGAACGAUAACGGCGUCGAGCGGCGGACGGGUGAGUAAUGCCUAGGAAAUUGCCCUGAUGUGGGGGAUAACCAUUGGAAACGAUGGCUAAUACCGCAUGAUGCCUACGGGCCAAAGAGGGGGACCUUCGGGCCUCUCGCGUCAGGAUAUGCCUAGGUGGGAUUAGCUAGUUGGUGAGGUAAGGGCUCACCAAGGCGACGAUCCCUAGCUGGUCUGAGAGGAUGAUCAGCCACACUGGAACUGAGACACGGUCCAGACUCCUACGGGAGGCAGCAGUGGGGAAUAUUGCACAAUGGGCGCAAGCCUGAUGCAGCCAUGCCGCGUGUGUGAAGAAGGCCUUCGGGUUGUAAAGCACUUUCAGUCGUGAGGAAGGUGGUGUAGUUAAUAGCUGCAUUAUUUGACGUUAGCGACAGAAGAAGCACCGGCUAACUCCGUGCCAGCAGCCGCGGUAAUACGGAGGGUGCGAGCGUUAAUCGGAAUUACUGGGCGUAAAGCGCAUGCAGGUGGUUUGUUAAGUCAGAUGUGAAAGCCCGGGGCUCAACCUCGGAAUAGCAUUUGAAACUGGCAGACUAGAGUACUGUAGAGGGGGGUAGAAUUUCAGGUGUAGCGGUGAAAUGCG